rnacentral:lncRNA from 1 species
CUCGUAUUUUUCGUUUACGUAAAAAUAUGGGAUGUUACACAUUUUCAGUUUUGCAUUUAUGUAAAUUUGCAAAGUCCCAAAAGAUAUGAUCUCCAACCAUUUUGCAUUUUGCCAAGUCCCACUUUUUUUGCCAUUAUUUUUUUUUUGUUUUCGCGUGCCUCGUGUCCGCCAAAUCUUCACGAUCGUCAUUCUGGUCGCCGCCAGUUUUCGCGAACGCCGCCGCCAGGACCGUGAACGUCUGCUCUCCAUUAGCUGUGUUUGCCAUUUAUACUAAGAAGCAACGACAAGUGCAUGGUCCUGUGUUUGCCGGCCACACUUGUGCACA